rnacentral:rRNA from 1 species
CCAACCUGCCGUCUACUCUUGGACAGCCUUCUGAAAGGAAGAUUAAUACAAGAUGGCAUCAUGAGUCCGCAUGUUCACAUGAUUAAAGGUAUUCCGGUAGACGAUGGGGAUGCGUUCCAUUAGAUAGUAGGCGGGGUAACGGCCCACCUAGUCUUCGAUGGAUAGGGGUUCUGAGAGGAAGGUCCCCCACAUUGGAACUGAGACACGGUCCAA